GGCAAAUACUCGCUACUUUUUUUCAACUCUAAUGGGAAAAAAAACAUUUUCAGGCUUCCUGCACCUGUGCCGGCUAUGUUCUAAGUUUCUAAAAUAAAAAAAAAAAUGCGUUGAAAAUGCCCUUGUCUAUCACUCGGUCUGUGGAGCUGAGUUGUUAUUUCAUUUCUUUUCAACUGAAUUCAUAGUCCAAAUUUACUCAUAUCUUAGAUCUGUAUUUUUGUUCAAACAUUUUAUAAUACUGCCUAAAACUAUCCGUCUGCUCCUUUUUUUUUUUUUUUUUUUUAAAUUGUUUGUUUAGUUUCAUAAGUUUAUCGACAACAAGGAAAUAAUAGAGAUCUGAACUAGUUUCCGAUGUGUCCUUAUUAAGGUUAUGAUAACUCUAGUUUCAACACCUUAUCGGUUAUCGUUCUUGGCCUUUGGUAAGCACACAUCGGUUGUUGGACACUCGCUUAAACGGCUCAUUGAACUGCUGAAGUACCACGAGCCUUAACGUGUGCUGGCCACUGCUGACAUGACACGGCCCUCUUCAUGUAAUCUCUUCCGAGGUCAACAUCUGUCACUUUUUUUUUAGUAGAUCGAUACGCGCGAUUGUUUUGUCAACAAUAGGUUCUGAUAAUCUGGGUAGGACACUCUGGCGAUUUAUAAGUUCUGAUAAUCUGGGUAGGACACUCUGGCGAUUUAUAAGUUCUGAUAAU